GGGCCCGUGGUCUAGCUGGUUAUGACGCCACCCUUACGAGGUGGAGGUCCGGGGUUCGAAUCCCCGCGGGCCCA
rnacentral:tRNA from 1 species